AUUCUUAUAAUUUAAGUCGAAGAAUAUUGCAUUGAAGCUGCAAAAGUGGCCUGUGGCCUGUGAAUA
rnacentral:tRNA from 1 species